rnacentral:rRNA from 1 species
AGAGUUUGAUCCUGGCUCAGGACGAACGCUGGCGGCGUGCCUAACACAUGCAAGUCGAGCGGGGUUCCCUUCGGGGAACUUUAGCGGCGGACGGGUGAGUAACACGUGGGUAACCUGCCUCAUAGAGGGGAAUAGCCUCCCGAAAGGGAGAUUAAUACCGCAUAACAUUAUGCUGUCGCAUGACAGUGUAAUCAAAGGAGUAAUCCGCUAUGAGAUGGACCCGCGGCGCAUUAGCUAGUUGGUGAGGUAACGGCUCACCAAGGCGACGAUGCGUAGCCGACCUGAGAGGGUGAUCGGCCACAUUGGAACUGAGACACGGUCCAGACUCCUACGGGAGGCAGCAGUGGGGAAUAUUGCACAAUGGGCGAAAGCCUGAUGCAGCAACGCCGCGUGAGUGAAGAAGGCCUUCGGGUUGUAAAGCUCUGUCUUUUGGGACGAUAAUGACGGUACCAAAGGAGGAAGCCACGGCUAACUACGUGCCAGCAGCCGCGGUAAUACGUAGGUGGCAAGCGUUGUCCGGAUUUACUGGGCGUAAAGGAUGCGUAGGUGGAUAUUUAAGUGGGAUGUGAAAUACCCGGGCUCAACUUGGGUGCUGCAUUCCAAACUGGAUAUCUAGAGUGCAGGAGAGGUAAGUGGAAUUCCUAGUGUAGCGGUGAAAUGCGUAGAGAUUAGGAAGAACACCAGUGGCGAAGGCGACUUACUGGACUGUAACUGACACUGAGGCAUGAAAGCGUGGGGAGCAAACAGGAUUAGAUACCCUGGGUAGUCCACGCCGUAAACGAUGGGUACUAGGUGUGGGAGGUAUCGACCCCUUCCGUGCCGCCGUUAACACAAUAAGUACCCCGCCUGGGGAGUACGGUCGCAAGAUUAAAACUCAAAUGAAUUGACGG